AAAAACUCCCAUCAGCCUCUGGCAGCUUCAACUUCCCCCCCCAGCUCCCGAAGCUGUCUUCAAGCCUUCGCCUGUUAACUUUACUGCCACAGAGAGAAAUAUUUCCACCAAGGAAGAGAGAAAUGAAAGGAGACGAGAAUGUCACAAGUGGCAGAACUUCUGCUGGGAUUUCAUUCUCCACCCCUGCUUGGGACUCCUUCCUGCUUCUUCCUAUCCUAAUGCAAACAUGGUCUAGCUUCAGAAUAGCUGUUAUCCAAAAGCUUCUGGCAGAGGACGUACAAGCCCACGCUACCACCCCAACCAUACAUGUGUAUGUCUUGACCUUUCAAUUUCCUUGAGAGCCAUACCCACUGGAAAUGACUAUUAAAACAAAGAAAAGCUUCACCGCAUUCUGGCAUUUUCAGGGAAAAAAAAAAUCCAGCUAAUGGAAAGUGCUUGAUAAUGUUUGCUUUUGUCUUUUCUCUUGCAUGUUCAGCUGAACUUAAUCUAUUGUUUGCAGUUAGACAAAAGGCAGGACAAAUUACAUGUUUGCCUACGCCUAUUCAAAGAAAGGGAACAAAGGUUUCAGAAUCAGCCAUAGAAAAUGGAGUUAUUUUUCUCACUCUUUACAAAUAUUUAAGUUGUAAGCAUCUGAGCUGCAGAAAUAACAAGCCUAGCUGAAACUGCCUUUUCCCAAGAAACCUGAAAAGACUUUACCAAAAAAAGAAAAAGACACUUCUUUUCACUUGUCAUGAAAAUAUUUUCAAGACCAGUUAAGAGAAAUAACUUUUAGAUUUUAAUUUACAAGACAAGAGCCAUUUUAAGUAUUGCAUUUUUGUGUUUAGGUUCUUUUGAUGAAAUAAUGAAGAAAGUAACCAAAUCCACAAAAAUAUUUAUUUGUAACACAUUUGCUUAAUAACAAUUCUGAUGUACUUCUGGUCCUAAGAAAGACCAUGUCCCACAAAUUUAUAUAAUUCUAAAUUAAAUAAAUGACUUAAUUUUAUCAGAGAACUCUCACCGCUAGUUCAGAUGCGUUUUGUAUUUAUCUCUGACGUUUUACUAUAGAAACAUAUUGCUUGUCCCAUCAUGUCUUAUGUAAUUUACUGAGUCCAGAGGACACACAUUUUAUUGUACAACAUGGAGCAGUGACCAUUAAUAAAUUUCCCUCAGGAGACAUUAGCAAUUUUUAAAAAAAUGUUUUCAUGCAUUUUCUAGCACAAUAAUUUCCACUGUUUUGGAAAGUAGGAUAUUUUAUCAAUGGGGUGGGUGGUGGCCUACUAUAUCAUGAUAUACCAGAAUUGUGUGAGGAGUGGCAUGUUUUGGAAAAGGCAUACUUUGGUUAAUUAAGUUUUUGUAAAUAGAACCUGCUCUCAACUUUAGGACAUCUGAUACCUGUACUGGUUUUGAAAUGGAGUUGUGGUGCAGCACUGGUUUUGUUAGUUAUACUACAUUUAUAGCUAUUGUCCACCACUGUGGUCUUCUUCUUCUUGUUGCAUGCCAUUUUAAAGGACAGUGAAAAAUAUUGCCAUUUUUAGAAUAAAGUAAAGGUCCUUCAUCCUUCACAACUGAAAACAAGGCAGCUGAAGGCCAAAAUUUCACUCACACAGAUUUCUGUGGACUGCCUGAGCAGCAUGGCAGCUAUGAUAUUAAGACAAAAAGAAUGGCAACUAUCAGCUUUGAGAACUGGAGACACCAAAUUAUGAUGCAUGAAUAGGGCUACUCAAUAGGGAUUUCUUUUAAUAUACAUGUACACAGGGAUUGGAAAUGGACUGGAAAAAUCAGCCUAUUUUAAAAUAUGGUUGCUAUGCUUAAUUUUCUCAUUUGCCACCAACUGGAUGAAUAAAUCGAUCACUUUGUUCAUUGCAUAAUAAUUUAAGGAUUAACCCUUUCCUGUAUUUCUACACAGUGCUAUAGCAGUAGAAAAAUACUGCUUCUCUAGAGUGAGUGUUCAGUUUUAUGUAGCCUAAGAGAAAAUGUUUAUCUAUUUAGUGCAACCUAGUACAGGAAAACAAGUUUUCCAGAUUCUUCUGGAAAAAUAUUUCAAGAUAAGCAAAUAAGAUCUUGGUCUAGAGAAUGCCAUGAAUAUCUGAAAAUACAUAAAUAAUUUCAUAGGCAUAUGUAACUGAGAGGAGUCAAGUCAUUCCUGUGCUUCUGUAGCUAAUUUCACAGCAUAUGAGUAUGUGAGUAUAGAGAAAAGACUCUUUAGCAUCAGCCUUUCCUAGAUUUUUCUGUCUCUAUCUGAUCACGUAAAAAGUUGUGGUACUAAGAAAGUACACAAUACAUUUCCUUGGUUUAAAAAAAAAUAUUUCUAAUCUGGUACUAGGGCUUUUCUGCAAGAGCACGAUUGGAAAAGUGUUCUUUGGUGACUGACAAAAAUAGCACAAGAGCAAAUGGGUCUUUACCAUUUACAUAUUCAGCAUUGAAUAAAAAUUGUCUUUGCAAAUAGUCUGAAACUACCAAACUAGUUUUUCAAAAGUUGUUGGAGGGUCUGAAGUGGAUUCAUUAAAUCUUUGUUUCGUAACACAAGCUGAAUUUGUCACAGCAAUAUUGGGCAAGUGCUAUGUUCUUGUGUAUGCCUUAAGAGCUACUCAUCCACUGCAUUUUUAGAUGACAAAUCUAAUACAUUAGGAGAGGUUUAUUCAUCCUAAAGAAUACUUGAUCUUACUGUGAUGCAUGAGCUCCAAAAGUUAAUGGUUACUUGCUGUGCACUUUUCAUGAAGAUUGAAAAAGAUUAAACUGUCAUAAAAAUCCCUGCUUUGUACUGCUGGGCAGAAAAGAUAAUCAAGCUCAGCGGGACUGUGUUACCUUCUAGCAGCUCUCAGGACCCUGACCCAUCCUUUUGCCCUCUGUUAAAAUAAAGGUCCGAUGCUUUUAAUAAUUAUCUUUGUCAAUGAUAAAUCUCUCCAAAAUUUUGAAGUCAAAAAAAAGCUAAUCUUGUAAAAUGCCGUUUUAGGUACACCCCACUGUUUUUAUUUGUAUUUUGAUGAAAUCUAUUAAAAAUCUUUGAAUUUUGGUGACAUGACAGGUCCCAUUUAUCAAAUUUUUGUUUACUAGGCACAUUUCAGUUUAAGUGAAUCUUGGUUGUGAUCAAAAGUUUUUUCCAAACUUCCCUCUACACAACAAGCUAGCUUAUUUUACUUUUUUCAUUUUUAUAAUUACAGCAAGAAGUAAAGUAAAAGUUAGCUAAAUAUUUUAUCUCAAUAUAAAAGAGACAAACAGUAAGAAGUUAAACUAACAUAAACUAACAAACAGUAAGGAGUUAAAGUAAUAGACUACAGGAGCAAGAAUCAGGGAUUAUUUGGUCAGUCUUGUUCUUUUAUUUGAAAAAUACUGAAUUCUUCCUUAAUUUGGAAGGCAAAUAUAAGAGAUAUAAGAGACAUAAGAGUCAUAUAAGAGACAUAAAAGUCCUCUAACCACCCUCUAGCUACUAAAUAAUGGCUUGCUUUUUUACAGACAACAUAACAAAAUGUUUUGCUAAAGGUAUGGAGGAUGCAAGGAUAAAUUUUGGGAA